GAAAGGGUGCUUCUGCGGAGACCCCGAUAGGUCUUCUUGGUUUUUUUUUUUUUUUUUUUUCUUAAGUCAUUUAGAAAUGUAAAUGACUUAAAGAAAAAGAAAAAAUAAAACCAAUUCAGUGCCAUUUCUGCUUACCUACAGUGCUACACGGUGCCUACAAGCUGCUUGCCAUUAAUCCUCGGAGAAAGCGUACAGAUCGUUUGCUCUGGAGAUCAAGAAACUAGUAAUCCAGGUUAGAGAUCAGAAAGCUGAUGAUACCGUAAGGAUUCUAGAAGCAAUUCACUCAUGUGAUUGCAACAAAAAAUUGUUAGAUAUAUGUCUACCAAAGAUAGAUAUUAUUAUUAACAAGCCAUCAUCGUCUAGUGAACACUAGUACCAGGGUUCCAGUUCCCUAGAGGAAUACAUAAUGACCGAUUUGGUUUCUGAUGAAUAUAUUAGAAACAAACUGUAAGCCCAUUAGUUCGCUAGAGACCCCAAUCAUGAUUGGCCUUAUAGAUCAUAGUUGAAAGAACUACAAAUACCGAAAAAAUUAUAAAUUUUGGAAGAGUAGUAAAAACAACUAUCAACAGUCUCCCAAAAAGAAGAGAUGCUUUAGGAAAAAGAAACCUUUUGCCUAUUGCAGAUGUUGGCUCUGCAACGAAGAAGGACAUUAUGCAAAUGAAUGUCCUAACAGAAGAAGACAAAAGAAUGUAAAAAUUCAUGAACAAAUCAUGGAUAAGGCAUUCAGAUUAAAUUUCAUUCCCAUUGAAUCAGAUUUAAGUGAUAAUGAAUCUGUAUACAGCUAUUAUACAGAAUCAGAGUCAGAAAGUAUGACUUCAAGUCAAUCAUCUUCUUUGAAUUCAGAUAAAUGAAUUUUAAGAUUUUUAUUUCUGCAAAGAAUGUGGAAGAUCUAUAUACGCACAAGGAAUAGCCCAUGUGUGUUAUAGAAAGCAGCAAGCUUUCAAAACUCAGGAAGAAGUUGUUAUUAACAAUAAACCUUCUAUUACUGAUCCCAAUAGUACUAAUUUUGAGAUCGGUAUCAAAUUAAAAGGAUACAAUAAGUAUUAUUUGCAUGCCUAUAUAUAUUGAUACAGGAGCAAGUAUGUGUUUAGCCAAUAAAUACACAUUACCGCCCCAUUUAUGGGAAAAAUUGCCGAUAAUUCUACUAUUGUGUUUGAUUAUUGUUCAAAAAACAUAACCCUUGUGAUUGCAGGUCAUAAGUUUCUUGUAUGUACCAACAAUCUACCGGAGCAGCAUGACAAUGGAUGUGCUUUUAGAAACCCGAAAAAAGCUAAAUGCAAGUGCCGAACGUAACCGGCGUGCAAGCGGCGUGUCCACUCAUUUAAUAAAACGGUGUGUUUUUCUUUUACUUGCUUUUUGUUCUUAACGAUAUGUGUUCCAUUUUCUUAUACAUUUUCCUCUGCAUUUCCUUCUAUCUCUAUCUCUCUCUCUCUCAAUUUCGUUUCCCCUUGCCUCCCUUUAUCUCCGUCUCCGUCGAACCUAUCCUUCUCCCUCUCCAUCUUGUUUCCUCUUCCCUCUUCUUCUCUAUAUCUUAACCCUAAAUCCAUCCCUCUCCAUCUCCAUCUGUCCCCUUCGUAACUCACCUUAAUUCAAAUUAAUAUCUUCAAAAUCUGAAAGGAGCAUCAAGGUUGACCCAUUUCUCUUCGUACAAGCUCCCUGAACGCAAUUUAUCUCUUCGCUAGCAUCCAAUAAUUUUCUACCUCGCUAUCUUCCAAUAGAAUGAAGUGAGAGAAGCACCAAAUUUAUUGCUUUCGAAAAUUAGAAAAAUUUCAUUUGAACUGUGUUUCGAUCAGAUGAGAAUGAGACUGAACCUAUAGAUUGCGCGAAAUUGGUGAGGCAAAGAGAAAGCUGUUUGUUUUGGUGCUGAUGAAUCUGAGUCUACAAAGCACUUUCUGAGUGCCGAACCGAGUUCGGUCCAGCUGAGCUCGUUCCCUUUGCAGAGCCCGAGUGGCCAAAGCUGAGGUGAAACUGCUCUCUGCUACGGAGCCGUUAUAAGUAGCCACCACCGCAAAAGCUGCAAGAGGAGUACGGGUCGAGUCGCUAUGGCCUCAAGAAAACCUCCUCACCAGCUCAGCUUGCAGCAAUUGAGAGAACUGCCUCGCCUUCGCCACCGCCUUCGCCUUAAGCUCUUAAGAGAACUGUCACAGCUUGCUCAAAGAGCUCCUUUUGAUCAAGGCAUUCCUCGAAUGUACAAUAAACUAAGAAAAAUACAUAUCCUCUCUAUAACUUGGAAGAUAAUAUUUUGCCUCCAUUUUUUAUUUUAAUUAAAAUAGUCGCUGAUGUAAUGCUACGUCAGCCUACUCCGGGGCGACUGAAUAUCCCGAAUGUACGUAGCAGCUUUGCAGAAACCCUACAUGAUCCAUGAUUAAUUCUGAUUUGUCAUGGGGCUAAUAAUUGGCAAUUGCGGAGUUUGAUUCAUAGUUUCUACGUUGCUCCAUUUUCCGAUGCACCCAAUACACAUCAUUGAAGUGGUUCCACAAUACUAAAAGGAAAAUGUUGGGACCGAUGAAUUGUACUUCAAAUCGACCGUUACUUAGUUUUCUUUUUUCAAAAAAAUUUAAUAAUUAAAAAACUGUUUAUUAAUAAAUUGGUGUUUUUUCCAAAUAAAUAAAUAAAUGUUUAAAAAAUAAUGAAAAAAAAUUGUAUUCUUAUUGGUCCAACUAUCAGUACUGGUUGCAGGAUCAAUAAUAAAAAAAUAAUAUUAUAAGAUAUAUUUAAACAUAAAUAGAUUAAAAUAUAUAUUUAAAUGUGUAAAACAAAUUAUGAAGAGUUAUUUAUUAUUUAAUUUUUUAGAAGAAGUUGAGCCCAACAUAACCCAUCACAGCCGUGUAACUUCCAGGAAAUUUCUUAAGGAAAAUGAUAGUCUACUUUUUCUUUUCUACCCUUCUACUACCAAGCCUCUACGUGGCUUUAUUUUGCUUUUUAUAUUUCUUCUGCUUUAUCUGAAAUAGGAAAUGUGUUUGAAUUUUAAAUACUGUGCUAAAAGCAGAAGAAAAAUAAAAAGCAAAAUAAAAGCCGAAUUUGCUAGCUGGAUGGCAGGGUCCUUAACUGACCAAGACAUGGCUUUUGUCGGCAAAUAAUUGCAACUUUGGUUUUAAUACCCCACCUAUUAAAACUCUCUUCAAGCUGAAUCCCUGUACCUCACAGUGGUUAAUCAUAAAGAAAUCUUUAUAUAUAAUGGAAGCUAGCUAGCAAUAUUAAAGAUGAAUAAUGCUAGGGACAACCGCCUCAUAUCCUCGGUGCGGCCUCGUGACUGAUGUGGAUAAUAUUAUAUUAAAACAAAGAAGCCCAAAGACUGAAAAGUAGAAACAAAACACGGAGCGGAGGGAGAGGGAAAAUCAUUUUGAAGAAUCCAGACCCACGAACCCACCAAAACCAGAUUUUGAAGAACUUGAUCGCCCUCGCUGAAGUGCCGUCGUCUUCCGUCACUGUCGCUGUCCGGUUGCUGCGGUCGCCGUCGUCUGGGUUCCUUUUGGGUCUUCAUCCAUCGGCAUUUAUUUUUGAACGGUAUUCCUCUAACUUUUGAAGUGAAGUGCAGAGAUCCCCUUCCCAUCAUUGUCAGCCUCUACUUCUACCUUUUAGUUCCCCGGUGUUUAUCAAGGACCUCUUGUGAUGGCUCCUCCUCAGUAUGCCACGGCUCCCGCACCACCUCGAAGAUAAACUGGUUUUCUUGAGGGAUGCCUUGCAGCUUUGUGUUGCUGUUGCCUCUUGGAUGAGUGUUGCUGCGAACCCUCCAUUAUAUUUAUCCCCUAAAACUAUUGCUGUACUUAAUACACAGAAAAUGAGGAGUUCUUUGUAUUCCUUAAAGAUGUAGUCGAAUCACAUAUUCAGUAGUUCUUGUCUUAUUUAGUUUUGAUUUCUAUUAUAUACAAGUUUUUGUAUA